rnacentral:tRNA from 1 species
GCACCGGUAGCUCAGCUGGAUAGAGCGCUGCCCUCCGAAGGCAGAGGCCAGGGGUUCGAAUCCCUUCCGGUGCGCCA